ensembl:lncRNA
CUCUCUCUCUCUCUGUGUGUGUGUGUAUGUGUGUGUGUCCGUGUGCGUGCAUAUGUGUGUGUAUGUGCAUAUAUGUGUGUUUUAGAAAUACCCAAAUUUGCCAUGCGGUUUCUCAUCGUCCUCUAUGCCGUGUUUGUCCUCAGCUUGGCAACAGGUGUGGUUAAUGGAGCUCCUCGCUUAGCAGGGCUGUCUAAAAUGACAGACACCGUGACUGAUGACCUGACCAAAAGUGAAGACGCUACCUCUGACUCUUCAGUGGGGAAGCAGGAGGAAGAAAUGGACGACGCCCUUGGUUUUGACGACGAGGCAGCUGAGAUGGAAGAAGCUCCUGCAGACACUCCAGAGCCUGCUGAGUUUGAAGAGGAAGUGACUGAUGCUCCUGCUGAGGAUGAACUUGAUGAAACUGCAGAGGAAACUGACUUUGACACAGCUGAGUCUCGCGAUGGCGCUGCAGAGACCGUCACUCUGGAGGAGACUUAUGCUGACAUUGCAGUGACAGAGUUUGAAGAGGAGCCGGCUAAUGUGUCUGCUGAGGAGCCAACUGAAGAAGCAUGGAACUAAGGAGAUCAUGGAAUUAUUCUGCAAAUUCACCUGUGCUUAUAGCAAGGCUAAAUGUUACCAUACAUGUACAAAAUGUAUUCAUACAUGUACAUGUAUUCAUUUUGGGCCAUUAUGUGUGCGCUAUAUCUUAACUGUAGAAAAAGCCAAACUUCUAUUGUGUUAAGGGUACUUAACUAGGUAAAAGGGGAACUAUUUUGAGUAAAUAUUAAAUAUACUAAUAUACUAUGAAUAUGGAUUUUCAAUAACACUCUGUAUAUUUAAAGUAGAGUUUUGAGAACAUGUAACACUACAAAAGGGGAACUUUUUAAGGACACU